rnacentral:rRNA from 1 species
UACGAAGGGGGCUGCGUUGUUCGGAAUUACUGGGCGUAAAGCGCACGUAGGCGGACUAUUAAGUCAGGGGUGAAAUCCCGGGGCUCAACCCCCGGAACUGCCUUUGAUACUGGUAGUCUCGAGCCCGGAAGAGGUAAGUGGAACUGCGAGUGUAGAGGUGAAAUUCGUAGAUAUUCGCAAGAACACCAGUGGCGAAGGCGGAGCUUGACCUGGUCCGGUUCGUGGACGCUGAGGCGCGAAAGCGUGGGGAGCAAACAGGG